AACGAACGCUGGCGGCGUGCUUAACACAUGCAAGUCGAACGCGAAAGUCCUCGGGAGUGAGUAGAGUGGCGCACGGGUGAGUAAUACAUAGGAACGUGCCUUAUGGUGGGGAAUAACCACCGGAAACGGUGGCUAAUACCGCAUGAUAUCGAGAGAUCAAAGGGGGCCUAUCCUUGGAAGCUCUCGCCAUAAGAGCGGCCUAUGUCCUAUUAGCUAGUUGGUAGAGAAAAGCCUACCAAGGCGAUGAUGGGUAACUGGUCUGAGAGGAUGAUCAGUCACACUGGAACUGAGACACGGUCCAGACU
rnacentral:rRNA from 1 species